rnacentral:rRNA from 1 species
AUUUCCGGUUGAUCCUGCCGGACCUGACUGCUAUCGGAUUGGUACUAAGCCAUGCGAGUCAUUGUAGCAAUACAAGGCGGACGGCUCAGUAACACGUAGUCAACCUAACUCGUGGACGUGGAUAACCUCGGGAAACUGAGAAUAAACCACGAUAGAUCAUAGUGCCUGGAAUGGCUUAUGGUCCAAACAGUUUACUGCCAUGGGAUGGGACUGCGGCCUAUCAGCUUGUUGGUGAGGUAAUGGCCCACCAAGGCGAUUACAGGUACGGGCUCUGAGAGGAGAAGCCCGGAGAUGGGUACUGAGACACGGACCCAGGCCCUAUGGGGCGCAGCAGGCGAGAAACCUUAGCAAUGUGCGAAAGCACGACUGGGUCAGUCCGAGUGAUUCCUGAUAAAGGAGUCUUUUGCCUGUCCUAAAAGCACAGGUGAAUAAGGGGUGGGCAAGUCUGGUGUCAGCCGCCGCGGUAAUACCAGCACCUCGAGUGGUCAGGACGUUUAUUGGGCCUAAAGCAUCCGUAGCCGGCUCUGCAAGUCUUCGGUUAAAUCCACCUGCUCAACAGAUGGGCCGCUGGAGAUACUACAGAGCUAGGGAGUGGGAGAGGCAGACGGUAUUCAGUGGGUAGGGGUAAAAUCCUCUGAUCCAUUGAGGACCACCAGUGGCGAAGGCGGUCUGCCAGAACACGUUCGACGGUGAGGGAUGAAAGCUGGGGGAGCAAACCGGAUUAGAUACCCGGGUAGUCCCAGCUGUAAACGACGCAAACUCGGUGAUGCAUUGGCUUAUGGCCAAUGCAGUGCCG